rnacentral:rRNA from 1 species
AAAGGAGCAAUCCGCUUUUAGAUGAGCUCGCGUCUGAUUAGCUGGUUGGCGGGGUAACGGCCCACCAAGGCGACGAUCAGUAGCCGGACUGAGAGGUUGAACGGCCAGAUUGGGACUGAGACACGGCCCAGACUCCUACGGGAGGCAGCAGUGGGGAAUCUUGCGCAAUGGGGGGAACCCUGACGCAGCGACGCCGCGUGCGGGACGGAGGCCUUCGGGUCGUAAACCGCUUUCAGCAGGGAAGAGUCAAGACUGUACCUGCAGAAGAAGCCCCGGCUAACUACGUGCCAGCAGCCGCGGUAAUACGUAGGGGGCGAGCGUUAUCCGGAUUCAUUGGGCGUAAAGCGCGCGUAGGCGGCCCGGCAGGCCGGGGGUCGAAGCGGGGGGCUCAACCCCCCCCAAAGCCCCGGAACCUCCGCGGCUUGGGUCCGUAGGGGGAGGGUGGAACACCCGGUGUAGCGGUGGAAUGCGCAGAUAUCGGGUGGAACACCGGUGGCGAAGGCGGCCCUCUGGGCCGAGACCGACGCUGAGGCGCGAAAGCUGGGGGAGCGAACAGGAUUAGAUACCCUGGUAGUCCCAGCCGUAAACGGUGCACGCUUGGUGUGCGGGGAAUCGACCCCCUGCGUGCCGGAGCUAACGCGUUAAGCGUGCCGCCUGGGGAGUACGGUCGCAAGAUUAAAACUCAAAGAAAUUGACGGGGACCCGCACAAGCGGUGGAGUAUGUGGCUUAAUUCGAUGCAACGCGAAGAACCUUACCUGGGCUUGACAUGUAAUGAACAACAUGUGAAAGCAUGCGACUCUUCGGAGGCGUUACACAGGUGCUGCAUGGCCGUCGUCAGCUCGUGUCGUGAGAUGUUUGGUUAAGUCCAGCAACGAGCGCAACCCCUGUUGCCAGUUACCAGCACGUGAAGGUGGGGACUCUGGCGAGACUGCCCAGAUCAACUGGGAGGAAGGUGGGGACGACGUCAGGUCAGUAUGGCCCUUAUGCCCAGGGCUGCACACGUACUACAAUGCCCAGUACAGAGGGGGCCGAAGCCGCGAGGCGGAGGAAAUCCUGAAAACUGGGCCCAGUUCGGACUGUAGGCUGCAACCCGCCUACACGAAGCCGGAAUCGCUAGUAAUGGCGCAUCAGCUACGGCGCCGUGAAUACGUUCCCGGGUCUUGCACUCACCGCCCGUCA